GCGCAAUAGAUGAUAGGUCAAAACCUUUGAUCUUCACCAUGGCGAGGUUAGACAAAGUGAAAAAUAUUACUGGAUUGGUUGAGCUGUAUGGCAAGAAUGACAGACUGAGGGAGCUAGCAAACCUUGUUGUCGUUGGUGGUUAUGUUGACGUGAAGAAUUCCAAAGACAGGGAAGAAAUGAGAGAAAUUGAGAAAAUGCAUGACCUCAUGAAAAAGUACAACUUACAUGGUCAAUUGCGUUGGAUAUCGGCUCAAACAAAUCGAGCUCGUAAUGGCGAGUUAUAUCGCUAUAUUGCUGACACAAGAGGUGUAUUUG
rnacentral:misc_RNA from 1 species